GACGAACGCUGGCGGCGUGCUUAACACAUGCAAGUCGAACGGAGAACCGCUUCGGUUGGGUUCCGGGUCGUACGGGUGAGUAACACGGGGGCAACCUGCUCCCGGCUCUGUGAUAACUCGAAGACAUUGGGGCUAAUACGCGAUGUUCACCGCUUCUCGCAAGGCUGGUGGUGGAAAGGGCUUCGGGCUGGGGGUGGGCACGCGGCGUUGCAGCUUGUCUGUAUGGUAGUGGCCGACCAGGGCGACGACGGGUAGGCGGCCAGGGAGGGUGACCGGCCACACUGGGACUGAGACACGGACCAGACGCGUACGGGACGCAGCGGUGGGGAAGAUUGCGGAAUGGGCGGAAGCCUGACGCAGCGACGCCGCGUGCGGGAUAACGUCCUUCGGGUUGUAAACCUCUGUCUACGGGGCCGAAGCGAAAGUGACGGUACCUGCACAAGAAGCAACGGCUAACUACGUG
rnacentral:rRNA from 1 species